UCUCACGAUAGUGAAUAAGUCUCACAAGAUCUGAAGGUUAUAUAAAGAGAAGUUCCCUACACCACUUCUGUCUUUGCCUGCUGCCAUCCACGUGAUAUGUGACUUGCUGCUCCUUGCCUUCUGCCAUAAUUGUGAGGCCUCCUCAGCCACACGGAAAUGCUUAUAGGCAUAAGAGACUUGCCUUGUCUCAGAUGAAACUUUGGACUGUGGACUUUUGAGUUAAUGCUGAUAUUAGGACUCUGCUUACCCUUUGUGAAUAAGCCCAGUGAAUCUGCUGAGUGAUGAGAGAGAGAGUGGGCCAGUCACUUCAUUGCUCCAGGAUUUUCUGUUGAAUGACACUUCAUAAAAAAGACUUUGAUUGCUGAGUUACAAAGACAAUUGUAUCUUCUUGUAAAGCAUACAGUCUUGGUGGUCCUACCCCAUGAACUGGCUGUCCCAGGACGGUUUUACGGAUUUUCUAAGAACCUACACAAUGCCAGUAUCUUCUAGAUCUUGGGAAUGGAAGAAUGAAAAGAUGAAGGAAACAUUUCCAGAUGCAGAUGACUUACAGUCUCAAAAAGAAUUUGCUAGAUGAACCCUGGGGUAAAGCCAGGGUCUCACUUGAUCACCCAGGCUGAAGUGCAGUGUGCAUGAUCAUAGCUCAGUACAUCCUGGAACUCCUGGCCUCAAGUGAUCCUCCUGCUUUCGUCCCUUUUGCCAAUGGCAUACCAAUUUUUUAGCACCAACAGCUCAUUACCACAUUGGCUAUAGACAUUUCCAAAUAAGCAUCAGAAGCCAUUGGCCAAUAUAUUUUUAAAAGACAGAUAAAUCUAAGCCAUGUAUGGUGGCUCAUGCCUGUAAUCCAAGCACUUUUGGAGGCCAAGACAGGAAGAUUGCUUGAAGUCAGGAGUUCACGACUAGCCUGGGCAAAAAAAAAUGAGACCCUGUCUCUUCAACAACAACGACAACAACACAAUUAGCCAGGCGUGGUGGUGCACACCUGUAGUUGCAGCUACUAGGGAAGUUGAUGAGGACAAAUUCAUUCUCCAUCUCUGUACGCUUAUUGAUCUCAUCCUCAUACUUGUUCUUGAAGUCCUCCACCAGGUCCUGCACAGUUCAAUAUUAAAUGGAGUUUCUACCCUAGCAUGAAAGGAGGAAGAGAGAAAAUCGGAUCCAAGAGAAAUUCGGCUCCAACAUUCCCCAAAUAUUAGAGUGAGACCAUCUGGAAUUCAAAAUGUUAUUAUCCUGAGGGGUCUUGAUGGCAGGAACUCACAAGUAGUCUCUCCAUGAUUCUGCAAUCAGGUCUUUCAUCCUCAGCCACCUCAUGUAUGUGACUCCCCAAGAUUCAAAAUUCUGGAGGGAGAUUCUGAUUGUCAUCAAGUCAAAUCUUCAGUCCUUUACCUAAGCUGUGGUCAGGGACUCUGGAUUCCAUGAUUGACGUCCCUCCAGAACACACAGGGUCAGAGUCAGGGUCAAAUUCUCAAAGGAUGCCGAGAAACCAGAAAGACAAACAAAAACAUAGGUGGUUAUGUUGAAGAUGUAAAUAUUCUCCCUGCUGUGAGUAUUACUGCAGCUGCCCAAAGAUGCUUUAUUUUAAAGAUGUGGAUACAGGAAGAUAAAAGCAUCAGAAACACUGCAUGGGAAAAUCAUUCAGACUGCAGCUUCCUGGUUUUAGACAUCCCCACUGGCAAUUGGGACAUCUAUUUUGGAGAUGUAAUUGAAAAGACUGAAGAAUGUACUGAGGACCUUCUGGCUGAUAGAAGCUGACAAAGAAGCCAAGAUUGGUGAAGAUUUCUGCAAUACCUGAGUUUCUAAUCACAACAACAAAAAUGGUACCUGGAUAGAAAACCUUGGAGAUAGUAAUUGAUGGGCAUCACGUAGCUGGUUGCUGGAGAAACACUGAAGCAGAACUUGUAAUAUCUUCAAAACAAGUGAAGGCCAGGAAUCAGAAAUGCUUCUGAAGGUCAGCUGCCUCUCCAGCCAUCUAUGAAGAGCUAUGGUUCUGAAUCCUGGCUAAUAUCAGAAUCAUCCUGGGAGCUUUUGAAAAUCCUGAUGCUCAAGUCACACUCCAUACUCAGGUGGAAAAGCCAUACUUCCGGUAUAAAUGCCUGCCUCCAUAAAACAGAAUUCACCAUCCACAGGUAUUUGUUGCUGAUCUUACCACAGAUGGGCUGCCUCCUGAAAAGUGCUUCACAGCUUACAAAGCACUUUUGCUACAUGUAAUUUGAUUCUGAGGGUCAAGUAAGGCAGGUGCUAUCAUCCUCUUUUUAACAGACAAGAAGCUGAGUCUCAGAGAGAGAAAAUGACUCAUCCAAGCAAGGUUUGAGACCUAAGAAAGGUAGGUCAUGGCAUUAGGAUUUCAACACUUUUACAAAUACUAAUAGUAAAGAAGAUGAAAAUGGCUCUAAGCCACUUUUUUAAAGAGUAAGUUAGCCUUACAUAUAGAUUCACCCCCAUAUCAGGAUGAACUUUGGCCCUCCUGGGGAAUGGGCUGGCUGGUAACAUGUCCACAGGUAUUUGCAAGGAUGGUACAAAUAACAUAAAUGUGGGUUCUUCUAUAUUUAGCUGCUUCUGGCAAUAUUACUGUAUUGAUUUCCUGUCUUUGUUUUCAUUCACUGCUGCUUUCAUUCACAGCUGGCCUCUAUCAGGGGUUCUCUUCCUUCUAUGCAUUAAUUUCUAUUCCAUUCAGAAUCAACCUGAAUCAAAUAUAACUAUAGGAGGUGCCUUUUGGACAAUACAGAGGCCAUGCUCAAGGAACACAAAAGGAACUGAAGUUGUGUGGAUUACAAGAGAGUUCGAUGUGUUCUAAAUUCAUUAUGUAGGUAAUGAAUGGGAUCUCGUGAAAAGUGGAACUAAGCCUCUUUGGUAAAGCCUGAAGAGUGGAGUCAAAAGCAAUGAGUAGAAAUCAUUUUACCCAUGCCAUCCACCUACCUAUCUACCCAUACAGACACCCAACAAAUUGUAAAAGAAAAGUAGGCAAUCAGGAUAAUCAGUAGUUUAAUAUGAUUUGGGGGUUCAUUAAAGGCUUUCCUUUAGAAAUCACAUUUAAACUGAGACCUGAAGGAUGGCUUCUGUCGUUAGCCAGAUGAAAAGAGAAGAUAAGCAUUCCAAGCAGAGGGAACAGGAAAGGUGGAAACAAACUGGGCAUAUUCCAGGACGUGGAAGGAAGCAGUAGGUAGCUUAAGUAGCAUGAAGAACACUUACAGAAGAGUUUAGAAUGAAGCAGGAGCCAGACCAUGGAGGUAGGACAUGCUAGAGCAAAUCAAUUUUAGCUGAGUGUGAAUAAUACAGUUCUAUCAUACGGAUCUGCCCUAAAAUGGAUUUGGUUUCUGAUGACCAAGGUUGUGUAAGCAGAAGCUGGAAGACCCUUGAAAAGAGCAUUCAUUCAAGAAAUGAAGCAUGAGAUAGGAUGGAAGGAGGGAAGAAAGACAAGCAUAUGGCAUAUCAGGUCUCUUCCAGUGCUAAAGGUCUGGCUGCCUAUGAUACUCAUCUGACCUGAUUUCUCCUGCACAGUGUUGCAACUGACGAGUAGCAGACUUGCCCUUGCCUGCAUUUGGGGGGAUGGCUGAGACUUUCCUUACAGAAAGCCCUACUUUCAGCAUGAACACUAACCCAGUUUAUUGGCUCAGGGUGUAGAGAGUUGCCUUGUCACUGGCGAAGUCAGAUGCAGCCAGUACCAGAGCUCUGCACUAGCUGUGAACACUAAGGAAGAAUAGCUGAGUGAGGAAGCAGAGUGCCAGGCAGCACAUCCUUCUUCAGGUGUUUCCUGCCCUGGGCCAGAUCCCAGGCACUGCAGCAAUAUCUCUGCAUGAUCUAGGGCUCCUGGAAAUAGCCCAUUAAGGGCAAAACUCGCUGCCCAGAAAACAUUAGAACAUUAAAAGAGCAGGGUCUCAUCUGAUUGUCUUGGUUUCCUGAGGCUCAUUCAGUCUGUGUCCACUGGUUUCAGUCUGAGUUCUCUGCACUUUGAGGAUGCAGACAGUGAAGUUCUCCCAUGGUUAUAGGGGGAGAGAUCAUAGGAAUGCUAUGGAAAGAGGCCUGAAGUCAGAGCCAGCUAGUGGUUAUUAUUUAUUAAUUGCCUGUGAGGUGCCAGGCGCACAUAUUAGACCAUAUGUGAUUGCAGUGAGCCACCCGGAUCCCCUUCAAGCUGCUGCUGCAGCUGAUGGAAGUCCUAUUGGCAGACAGCCUUCUCUCAUCAGCCCCUUCAGGACUUGCCUCAGUUGCAGAGAGCUGCCUUCCCCAAGAUCACACCCUUCCCUGGGGACUCACAACCAAUGGCUGAUCCAGAAGAAUCCAUAAAGCCCGUAUCAUUUCAGCCCAAUUUAGGACAGCUUUGUUGAGCCAUUAGACCUACAUGCAGCCCAACCUCUCCUUCUACCCACUUCUUCUUUCUUCCCUUUCCUUCCACGGUGUCUGUUCCAAGCACUUGCCUUAAUAAACAUGUAACAGGUUAAACUCUGUCUCGAUGUCUGCUUCAAGGAGACUAAAACAGAGGAAGAAAAUCCAGAAAAGGAGGACUCCAAUCCAGAUUAAAGGAAUUUCCAAAAUGGUGGCUGAGACAAAACCUGGGGUUCAAGUCAUGUUACAGAGAUGGUGUUCCAGAUUAGUGCAGAAUAGUGGGCUCAAGAAGAAAUGCCUUCAAGAAAAGAUUGAAACCAACACACUACAAGUUUGACAUUGGAAAAGUUGAAUUGAAGAGUUGUUGGAAGGUUCUGAAGACCUCAAAUGGACUGAGCCACACUACCAGCAUCCAGCAUCCAUGGUUCUCCAGUCUGCAGAUGGC
rnacentral:lncRNA from 1 species